rnacentral:rRNA from 1 species
AACGAAGUAGCAAUACUUAGUGGCAGACGGGUGAGUAACAUGUGGGUAUCUACCCUUUGGCCUGGAAUAACACGAGGAAACUUGUGCUAAUACCGGAUAAGUCUUUACGGAGAAAGCUUUAUGCACCAUUGGAUGAGCCUGCACUUGAUUAGUUUGUUGGUGGGGUAAUGGCCUACCAAGACUUUGAUCAAUAGCUGAUUUGAGAGGAUGAUCAGCCACAUUGGGACUGAGACACGGCCCAAACUCCUACGGGAGGCAGCAGUGGGGAAUCUUGCACAAUGGAGGAAACUCUGAUGCAGCGAUGCCGCGUGAGUGAAGAAGGCCUUUGGGUUGUAAAGCUCUUUCGUCGGGGAAGAAAAUGACUGUACCCGAAUAAGAAGGUCCGGCUAACUUCGUGCCAGCAGCCGCGGUAAUACGAAGGGACCUAGCGUAGUUCGGAAUUACUGGGCUUAAAGAGUUCGUAGGUGGUUGAAAAAGUUGGUGGUGAAAUCCCAGAGCUUAACUCUGGAACUGCCAUCAAAACUUUUCAGCUAGAGUUUGACA